AACCCGCACAAUAUAAUAGGCGAUCAUUAGCUAGAUUCAGCUCAUCAAGUCUGAUUCCGAUCCGGCGAAGUAAUCCCAAUUCUCAGCUUGGAACUACUUCGAUCUAACCCUAUCUCUCUCAGAUCACAUCUUCUCUCGCUCUCUUUUCCCUAUCAACUCUAUUUUCUGAACCAGGGGUGAGUCAUCUGCCUAUUCUCGAGCUCAUCAUUAAAGAUGAAUAUGCAGCAAGCUGUGCAGUCCAGAUCUUCAGCGAAUGGAUAUGGUCGCCGUAAAGUUGAAAAAGAUUCUGCAGCUAGGUCUGACAGUAAAUUUCAUACCGGGAAAGCAAACUAUAGCAGGACUAGUUCUGGUAAAGGAGGGAUACUUGAGUCACCUUCACGCGAUAGAUUGAUAUAUUUAACUGCAUGUCUCAUUGGACACCAAGUGGAAGUCCAGGUGAUGGAUGGAUCUGUGUUUUCUGGAAUAUUUCAUGCAACAAAUGCAGAGGAUUUCGGAAUUGUUCUGAAGAUGGCUCACCUGAUUAAAGAUGGUUCUCAAGGAAAAAAAGAUAUUUCAGAUGCUCUUAGCAAUCCUUCUCCAAAGACACUGAUUAUACCAGCUAACGAUCUCAUACAAGUGAUAGCAAAGGGAGUGCCUGUAAUGAGGGAUGGAUUAUCAAAUGAGCUGCAAUAUGAAAGGCAGCAAGAGCUAUUAACAGAUUCCUGCAUAUCACAGUCCCGGCAUGUUGACUUGGGUAGAGAAUUGGAGCGUUGGAUCCCUGAUGAAAACAAUCCAAGUUACCCUGAUCUUGAGAACAUAUUUGAUAGUCCUUGGAAAAGGGGCUGGGAUCAAUUUGAAGCGAAUGCAACUUUAUUUGGAGUUAAGAGCACUUUCAACGAGGAACUUUACACAACAAAGCUUGAGAAAGGUCCUCAAAUGAGAGAAUUGGAGAAAGAAGCUAUGCGGAUAGCUAGAGAGAUUGAGGGUGAGGAUACCGGUGAUCUUCAUUUAGCAGAGGAAAGGGGUCGUCAGCUUGAUGAAAGUGUAGAACUUGAUGAAGAAACACGAUUCUCCUCAGUCAUUCGGUCAAUUGAUGACAGUGGAUAUGAUGAGAUCGAAGACAUAUUACAGGAUUCACGAAAUGAUGAAACAUUUGGUGAUUCCUUGAGGCCUGUUAUUGGCAAACCUCCAAUUGACACGUUUCCUGGGAAAGCUAGAGAUGGUGCUCAAAUGCCAUCAAGAUUUCCAUCCUUGGGAGAAGCGCAAUCUUCUGUGUCCAGUAGCAGGGAUGUGUACCAUUCAGGUUCCGAGGAUCAUGGCACACAGAUACUGAAUGAACAUCUUCCUAAAGUAUCCUCUGGAAUUUAUUCAAGCAGGGUGCUUGACAACCAAUAUACUGGACAUGCGGAAAGUAGUAGUGUUCAGGAUGAUAAAGAUAAGCCAGUGUCGCUUGAUCGAGGUGGAUCAUCAAAGACUGAGGACUCAGAUUCAUUGCUAAGAUUUAAAAAGGGUUGCGCUGCUAACGCUGCCUUGUCUCCAAAUACUACAUCUAUUGAUCCAUCACGUGUAUCAGCCGAAGGAGAUGAGAAGGCGAGCUCUAGUAAUGAGCUAUCGGAGGGUACAUUGCCUCCCAAAACGCAAGGGGCAGCACAUUUUCUUGCCCGGCCCAAUAGUUCUGCAUCAUCUACUUCUGAUCGUGGAGGUGCUGCUUCUACUUCUGCUAGCCAAGGAUUGUCAUCUAGUUCAUCUGUUGGUUCAUUGUCAUCAGAGAAGUCAUCUCUGAAUCCAUAUGCUAAGGAAUUUAAGUUAAAUCCGAAUGCAAAGAGUUUCACCCCAUCUCAGUCGUCUAUGAGGCCUUCUUCCCCAGUUGCUGAUGGUCCCUUCUACUAUCCAGCUAAUGUGGCACCAAUGACUCAGAUGCAUGGAAUGCCUGUGAAUAUUGGGAUUGGACCUUCUUUUGCUACACACCAGCCUAUUAUGUUCAAUCCACAGGCUGCACCACUGCCACAGCCAUACUAUCAUCCAAACGGACCUCAGUAUGGGCAGCAGAUGAUGAUUGGACAACAUCGGCCAGUCUUGUACAUGCCAACAUACCCAGCAGAAAUGCCUUACAACCAUGGGAGGGAAUUUUGAUGAAGGCUAGUAGUCGAACCAUAUUAUGUGUUUCUGUUUAUGUUUACAACAACAGGCUGCUCUGAAAUGAUUUUUCCGACAAGGCUCAGCAGCUGAAAAAAAUCUGCUCAGCUCUGGAGACCGUAAGGAGAUUUGUGGUCUUAACAUAUAUUCACAACCAGGUUGACCUUUGACAUAAGGCGAAUUAUGAUGCUUAGUUUUACUUUUUGGGGCUUCAGACAACAAGGCAAUAUCAAAUCAUGCAAUUAAGGUACUCCAUUUUUAGCCGAGUUAUGUAAAAUCAUCGGCAGUGGUUAAAUUUCGGUUUGUGCUGUAUCUUUCUUGAAGUUUGUAUUUUUUCUCAAUUAUCUCAUUAUGAAAAAUUCAAGCCAUUUAUGUAUAGUACUCCCUCCUUCCUAUAAUAAUUAUCCAUUUUGGUUUUGACACUGAUUUUAAGAAAUGUAAAGGAAAGUGAGUUGAAAAAAGUUAAUAAAUAUGAGUCUCACUUUUAUAUA